CCCUCCCCCGGUGGGAGACAGGAGGAGGAGGGAGAGGAAGAUAGGGUGUUGGUAGAGGAGAUGGGUGAUAAUCUCAACACCAGUGUGGACUACAGCAGCAGACUCACUAAUGGCAGGAGACAUAUCCAGGACAUGGAGAAUGUCAGAGCUCACCUUCAAACCAUGCUGAGAAGCACACCCACAUUGGAGACAGAGGGCCUCCUGGUUGUCUGACCCACCUUUUGGAUUAUUGCCUAGGGAAUGUAUCUAUUUUGGAUGUCCCUCGCCAUAUCUCCCUCUGGAAUACCUAUCGGGUUUCCCUCUUUGACUCUCCUGCGGCCCGGAGUAGAUCCUGCCGCUACCUGUUUUUUUCUCUGGCUAGUUAUAGGGCCUCUCCACUGAAGCGCUUCCCUACCUGGCUCCACUCUUCUCCACCUGCUUUUUCUCUGCUCUGCGCCCUGAAGCAAGCUGGCUGCCAACUGGAGCGCCUGAGCUGGAAGUCUGGGCUCA